UUGAUCAAUUCGCUCCGAGCCUGCGCCGCCUAAAGCAUUUGCCAUGGCGGCCAGGCCGAGGGUGACAAUGGGAAACCAUGUCGCCUCCCGCGCUUGGAAAGGAGCCUGCGAUGACACUG
rnacentral:ncRNA from 2 species